UAUGAGAGGCCCAAACGUUAUUCGGAUUUACUGGGCUUAAAGAGUUCGUAGGCGGUCCGUCAAGUGGGGUGUGAAAGCCCUCGGCUCAACCGAGGAAUUGCGCUCCAAACUGUCGGGCUCGAGGGAGAUAGAGGUGAGCGGAACUGAUGGUGGAGCGGUGAAAUGCGUUGAUAUCAUCAGGAACACCAGAGGCGAAGGCGGCUCACUGGGUCUCUUCUGACGCUGAGGCGCGAAAGCGUGGGGAGCGAACAGG
rnacentral:rRNA from 1 species